rnacentral:rRNA from 1 species
AACCAGCACCUCAAGUGGUCAGGAUGAUUAUUGGGCCUAAAGCAUCCGUAGCCGGCUCUGUAAGUUUUCGGUUAAAUCUGUACGCUUAACGUACAGGCUGCCGGGAAUACUGCAGAGCUAGGGAGUGGGAGAGGUAGACGGUACUCGGUAGGAAGGGGUAAAAUCCUUUGAUCUAUUGAUGACCACCUGUGGCGAAGGCGGUCUACCAGAACACGUCCGACGGUGAGGGAUGAAAGCUGGGGGAGCAAACCGGAUUAGAUACCCGGGUAGUCCCAGCUGUAAACUAUGCAAACUCAGUGAUGCAUUGACUUGUGGUCAAUGCAGUGCUGCAGGGAAGCCGUUAAGUUUGCCGCC